CGCUAUCACUCCUACGGGGAGGCAGCAGUAGGGAAUCUUCCACAAUGGGCGCAAGCCUGAUGGAGCAACACCGCGUGAGUGAAGAAGGGUUUCGGCUCGUAAAGCUCUGUUGUUAAAGAAGAACACGUAUGAGAGUAACUGUUCAUACGUUGACGGUAUUUAACCAGAAAGUCACGGCUAACUACGUGCCAGCAGCCGCGGUAAUACGUAGGUGGCAAGCGUUAUCCGGAUUUAUUGGGCGUAAAGAGAGUGCAGGCGGUUUUCUAAGUCUGAUGUGAAAGCCUUCGGCUUAACCGGAGAAGUGCAUCGGAAACUGGAUAGCUUGAGUGCAGAAGAGGGUAGUGGAACUCCAUGUGUAGCGGUGGAAUGCGUAGAUAUAUGGAAGAACACCAGUGGCGAAGGCGGCUACCUGGUCUGCAACUGACGCUGAGACUCGAAAGCAUGGGUAGCGAACAGGAUUAGAUACCCUGGUAG
rnacentral:rRNA from 1 species